AGAUCCGCUGCGGUGCUGGGCCGGGCUCCUUGCCAAGAGCGGCUGCGGCACACAGCCGCGGUCGGGGUGGUGGUUCCCCCCAUUGACAUGGUUGGCGAUGCUCCCGCCUGCCCUCUCCUCCCCGGCACGGGCUGCCAACGGGCUGGGGUGUGAAGGUGGCUCUGGGCUGGGAUGCGGGAUGCUGUCUCACCCUUCCCACCGCUAGACGGGACCGCGGCAUCGGCGCUCCGGCAGCCCGAUGCGCGCCUGUCCCGCGUGACUCGCAUACGCAAUGCAGCCAUGCUUAACGAGCGGUCAUCACUGAUCACCAGGGACCCGGGGCGAGGAUGAGCCUGGAUGUCUUGGUGUGGGCAGCUCAGCGCAGAAGAGGCGGUGGUCCUUCUUGCACAGGACAUGGAAGCUUCUGCCUGUGAACUGAAUACCAAAGACAAUCAAGAUCUUGGUGACAGACAGAAGCAAAGGAUAAACCAUCAGAUAAACCCUUACCAGAGAACAGCCUCUGAAGGAGCCAAGAGCAGGUAGGGAUUUUGCUUCAGAUAACAUCCAUGAGGAAUAUUU